rnacentral:rRNA from 1 species
CAGCAGCCACGGGAAUACAGAGGGUGCAAGCGUUAAUCGGAUUUACUGGGCGUAAAGGGCGCGUAGGUGGUUAUGUAAGUGAGAUGUGAAAUCCCCGGGCUCAACCUGGGAACUGCAUCUUAUACUGCGUAGCUGGAGUGCAGUAGAGGGUAGUGGAAUUUCCGGUGUAGCAGUGAAAUGCGUAGAUAUUGGAAGGAACACCAGUGGCGAAGGCGGCUACCUGGACUGACACUGACACUGAGGCGCGAAAGCGUGGGGAGCAAACAGGAUUAGAGACCCGAGUAGUCCCUGUCUCUUAUAC